CCUACGGGGGGCAGCAGUGGGGAAUAUUGCUCAAUGGGCGAGAGUCUGAACCAGCCAAGUAGCGUGAAGGAUGACUGCCCUAUGGGUUGUAAACGUCUUUUAUAAAGGAAUAAAACGAGGCACGUGUGCCUUUUUGCAUGUCCUUUAUGAAUAAAGCUCGGCUAACUGCGUGCCAGCAGCCGCGGUAAUACGGAGGAUCCGAGCGUUAUCCGGAGUGUGUGGGUUUAAAGGGAGCGUAGAUGAGUUGUUAAGUCAGUUGUGAAAGUUUGCGGCUCAACCGUAAAAUUAUAAUUGAUACUGGCAGUCUUGAGUACAGUUGAGGUAGGCGGAAUUCGUGGUGUAGCGGUGAAAUGCUUAGAUAUUACGAAGAACUCCGAUAGCGAAGGCAGCUUACUAAGCUGCCACUGACACUGAUGCUCGAAAGUGUGGGUAUCAAACAGGAUUAGAUACCCUAGUAGUC
rnacentral:rRNA from 1 species